GACGAACGCUGGCGGCGUGCUUAACACAUGCAAGUCGAGCGGGAAACUUCGGUUUCCAGCGGCGGACGGGUGAGUAACACGUGGGCAACCUGCCUCACAAUGAGGGAUAGCCUUCCGAAAGGAAGAUUAAUACCUCAUAACACAAGAGAAACGCAUGUUUCUUUUGCCAAAGAAUUUCGUUGUGAGAUGGGCCCGCGGGGCAUUAGCUUGUUGGUGAGGUAACGGCUCACCAAGGCUUCGAUGCGUAGCCGACCUGAGAGGGUGAUCGGCCACAUUGGCACUGAGACACGGUCCGGACUCCUACGGGAGGCAGCAGUGGGGAAUAUUGCACAAUGGAGGAAACUCUGAUGCAGAAACGCCGCGUGCGUGAUGAAGGUCUUCGGAUUGUAAAGCUCUGUCUUCUGGGACGAUAAUGACGGUACCAGAGGAGGAAGCCAUGGCUAACUACGUGCCAGCCGCCGCAGUAA
rnacentral:rRNA from 1 species